UUGAAUUGAAGAGUUUGAUCAUGGCUCAGAUUGAACGCUGGCGGCAGGCUUAACACAUGCAAGUCGAACGGUAGCAGGAGAAAGCUUGCUUUCUUGCUGACGAGUGGCGGACGGGUGAGUAAUGCUUGGGAAUCUGGCUUAUGGAGGGGGAUAACUACGGGAAACUGUAGCUAAUACCGCGUAGUGUCGAGAGACGAAAGUGCGGGACCGCAAGGCCGCAUGCCAUGAGAUGAGCCCAAGUGGGAUUAGGUAGUUGGUGGGGUAAAGGCCUACCAAGCCUGCGAUCUCUAGCUGGUCUGAGAGGAUGACCAGCCACACUGGAACUGAGACACGGUCCAGACUCCUACGGGAGGCAGCAGUGGGGAAUAUUGCGCAAUGGGGGGAACCCUGACGCAGCCAUGCCGCGUGAAUGAAGAAGGCCUUCGGGUUGUAAAGUUCUUUCGGUAUUGAGGAAGGAGUGUAUGUUAAUAGCAUGCAUUAUUGACGUUAAAUACAGAAGAAGCACCGGCUAACUC
rnacentral:rRNA from 1 species